rnacentral:rRNA from 1 species
UACGGGGGGAGCAAGCGUUGUUCGGAUUUACUGGGCGUAAAGGGCGCGUAGGCGGCCACUGCAAGUCAGUUGUGAAAUCUCCGGGCUUAACCCGGAAAGGUCAACUGAUACUGCAGGGCUAGAGUGCAGAAGGGGCAACUGGAAUUCUCGGUGUAGCGGUGAAAUGCGUAGAUAUCGAGAGGAACACCUGCGGCGAAGGCGGGUUGCUGGGCUGACACUGACGCUCAUGCACGAAAGCGUGGGGAGCAAACAGG